AACCAUUUCCAUCGUUCAUCCAUUCUAUCCUGGCUAAGUGGUUGAGGUUUCUUCAGUAAGAGAUUAUGACAUCUCAAAAUAGCAAGCAAUACAUCAUUAAACCGCCUACUAAUUCUUUCUUCAGAUCUCACAAAUUGUCUCUUUAUUACUCUAAUUUUGACGUCAUAUGCUAUAAUAUGUAAAAACAUGGCAACCAUUUCUUCUACACCCAUAUUCCUACUUGGUUCUAACCUUUCAACUUCUUUAAGCAUGUUACACAAUGCAUGAAAGGUACGCCUAUCCAUUCUUGUAUUUUCUAUACAUGCUAGAUCACUAAAAUAAAUAAUCCUAUCGACACUAACAUCCCUUACUACUUGCCUACUAUAACUAUCAUUCUAUUUUCUUUUCUUUUUUCUCAAUUGCAAUAUAAUCAAAACAUAGCAAAUCAU